GACGAACGCUGGCGGCGCGCUUAACACAUGCAAGUCGAGCGAGAACCAUGGCUUCGGCCAUGGGGACAGCGGCGAACGGGUGAGUAACACGUGGGUAAUCUGCCCUCGGCACUGGGAUAGCCCGGGGAAACCCGGAUUAAUACCGGAUAGCCUUUCGAGCUCUUGGGCUCGUCAGAAAAGGUAGCUUCGGCCUCCGGCCGAGGAGGAGCCCGCGGCGGAUUAGCUUGUUGGUGAGGUAAAGGCUCACCAAGGCGACGAUCCGUAGCUGGUGUGAGAGCAUGACCAGCCACACUGGGACUGAGACACGGCCCAGACUCCUACGGGAGGCAGCAGUGGGGAAUCUUGCGCAAUGGGCGAAAGCCUGACGCAGCGACGCCGCGUGCGGGAAGAAGGCCUUCGGGUUGUAAACCGCUUUCAGGAGGGACGAAGCCACUCGGGUGAAUAGCCCAGAGGGUGACGGUACCUCCAGAAGAAGCCCCGGCUAACUACGUGCCAGCCGCCGCCGUAAAAC
rnacentral:rRNA from 1 species